rnacentral:tRNA from 1 species
GGCUUCAUAGCUCAGUUGGUUAGAGCGUUGCACCAGUAUCGCGAGGUCAAGGACGUUCAAACCCUGUUGAAGUCC